rnacentral:rRNA from 1 species
CCUACGGGAGGCAGCAGCGGGGAAUAUUGCGCAAUGGGCGGAAGCGUGACGCAGCAACGCCGCGUGGGGGAAGAAGGCCUUCGGGUUGUAAACCCCUUUCAGGAGGGACGAAGGUUCGGCGGUGAAUAGCCGACCGGACUGACGGUACCUCCACAAGAAGCCCCGGCUAACUCCGUGCCAGCAGCCGCGGUAAU